rnacentral:lncRNA from 1 species
GAACGAGCCGGGCUUGCCCAGGCACCUUUGAAGCCGGGCCGUGCCGGUGCUGGGCCGGGGCAUUUUCGUGCCGUGUCGCGAGCCACCUGGUGGGCCCAGCCCAAAUGGACAUCUAUAUCCCAAGGGAUCUACCUUUGAUCUAAUCGGGUAUUCCAAUGCCGAUUAUGUCGGAUGUAAAAUUGAUAGGAAGAGCACAUCAGAGACUUGUCAGUUUCUAGGAAGAUCCCUGGUGUUUUGGGCUUCAAAGAAACAAAACUCAGUAGCUCUAUCCACUGCUGAAGCCGAGUAUAUUAUUGCAGGACAUUGUUGUGCACAAUUACUCUGGAUGAGGAAAACCCUUAGGGACUAUGGCUACAAGUUGAGCAAAGUCCCUCUCCUAUGUGAUAAUGAGAGUGCAAUCCGCAUAGCGGAUAAUCCCAUUGAACACAGCCACACUAAGCACAUAGACAUCCGGUAUUACUUCUUGAGCGAUCACCAACAAAAAGGGGAUAUCGAAAUUUCUUAUGUUAGCACCCACAACCAAUUAGUUGAUAUCUUGUAAGACCUAAAUUUGGUAGGAGACAUAUAUAUAUAUAUAUAUAUAUCAUAAAAUAAUAAAAUAAAGAAUAAAAAAAUAUAUAAUAAUGUGGUCAGAAUUUUUGAAGACCUUUGGAAAUCUAUUAAGAUUCUUCCUUCUAAUAUUCAACAAAAUAAUAUUAAAUUAGUUAAAGUAACUAAUAAAUUGAUAAAGAAAGGUUGAUCUCUUGAUGAUGAUUUUGUGGUGAUGCAUUCUAUGGAACACAUAAACUUGACCUCUAAUUUUGAAAAAAAAACAUAAAGUACAAAAUGGAAGGAAAUGUCUAGGAAACCAUUUAUUCAUCCCAUAAAUAAAUAAGUGAUAAGGUAAAUAAUAUUAAAAUAAAUAAUAUAUGUUAUAUUUUCAUUAGGGCUAUGAUGGAAAUUUGGGAAUUUGGAAACUUGAAUCUGAAGGGAAUUGGAGAUUUAGAAAGGAAAUUGAAUUUGGCUUAAGUAUUUCAAACUAGAAAUAGAAAAGAAUAUAGAAAAGAAAAAUAAAAGAGAAAACCUAGCGCUGGGCCGAUUUAUUCUCAGCCGGCCCAACUCGCCCUCAAACCAGCCCACCAGCGCGCCCCGCUCACGCCUCACGCCCACUGACGGGCGGUCCCCACCCGCCAGUCUUAACCAUGUCUGGCCAAACUCCGACUCACGGGCCCGCGGGGUCAGUCUCACCGGCUGGACGGCUCCACCUUCGAUCGCGCCGCUCGGUACACUGAGUUGUGGGGCCCGGUUGUCAGAUCGUCUCCCACCCUAGAACAACCUUGCGUAUGCCUCGGAACACACCCGUGCGAAUCGGGCGCGGGAAAUCCGCCGUUCUCCUCGACCUGGGCAUGGCAUCAGCUAUAAAACCGGGGCCCUGGACGUCGUAUGCUCCCUCAACCCACACCGUUGAACCCGAGUCUGUAGGAGCGAGCCCUCACCAUGGAUGUCGGUCAGUGCAAGGGAGAGAGAAGGAGAUUCCGGCCGUCACCAUGGAACCUCGCUGGCGUCUGCAAUUGGAGCGUGUGAUCUGGUUGGGAAGAUUCGUUGGGUCAUGCAGGGGCUAAUCGUGCUGUCUUCAAAAGAGUAGGGCGCCGCUGAGACCCGGAAUUUCUCACCGGCGCAAAACCUCACCCUCAAAUCCGCCGUACGUCGUGGCUGGGUACCCCUGCAUCCUUAUUCCUGGUAUGAUCUCUUGCAUCUUGACCGUGUGCAUCUCCCCUGUGAUUAUUGGGGUUGGAUUUGGCGUGUGGGGGUCAGAAUCGCCCGGAAUCUCUCGAGGGCAUGGCGGACUCGCGGCUGAUCCACUGCGGUCCAUGGCGUGCCUCUGCGUAGGCUCACUGUAGGAAUUGAUUUCCCAACGGGCUGGUGGGGCGUGUAGCAUGGUAUAGCUCAGGUCAGGCGGGGAUUUAGGGCGUUGGUUGCCGGGAUGCCGUGCGUCGGUGUGCACCGCCGUCGCCGGGAUGGGCACCAGCGCGACCUGGUGUCGCGAGAUUGAAGAUGAGCGGGGACCGUCCGUGUAAUGAUGAGCGCUCUGGAUUGAAAGAAAAAGAAGUAAGCCCCUGACCGUAGAUCCAUUCAUCAACGAUGGUGAUUCAGCCAGCACACCGACGCGUCUGUGGAUGAUCCUAGCCAUCGGUUGCCAGAUCGACGCUUACGAUUAGAUUUCCAUUCAUAAAAUCUCGACCGUUCGAUUGGAAUCCGGUGACCAGUGUGGGUACCGAUUCGUAAUAACCUAGGUCUAAUCUGGGCCCUUGGGUUGGGAUCGGAUGGCUCAGAAUCCAUCAUACCUCUUCGCCAUGCCAUUUCACUAAAGAGACCCUACUAUUUUUAGAAAUGAACCCGCGGUCCAUUCUGACUAUUCGCUGUGUCUAGGGAUUCUUCUGCGUUAGCCCCUGAUCUUUCUAAAAAUAGACGCCCAGUUCAGAACUGAUUCAAAAUGAAUAAAUGAAUUAGUAAAUACAUUUUUUUAUACAAAAACAAUUGCUAGAAUUUGUUAAAUCCCUAGAAAAUUCAUACUUACUCCAAAUUAACCCAUUCCACUUCCUAUAAUUUUGUAAUAUUAUUAUAUAUAAAUUAGUGUCUCUGUUUUGACAUAAAAGUCACAUUAAAAUUUAUUUCUUAAUUAAUCUGAUGCCAAGCACAUAAAACCUUAGGAAAUUCGUAUCUCCUCCGUUUUAACUCCGAUUUGAUCCGUUCAAGUUGCGUUAGUCUCGUAGCUUCGCGUAGAUUAUUUCUACACAGUGUAUUCUUAUGUUUGGUGUGAUGUUAAUUUUAUCUAUACCAUGUUUGUUUGUAUUGCUACGACUAGCGCGAGGACACGUGUCAUCUGAAAAGCAAGUUGGUACCUGGAAUCUCAAGUGCCAGGCAAGUUGUGCCCUUGAUCACUUCUUUUACCCACUCAUGUUCUAAUUAAUCAUAAUGAUCUGCAUAGGUUAAUUUUGAUGGGACCCAAUAGGUCACCCUAGUUUGUUUAUCCUGAAUACCUUGUUUACCCCUGAAUCACUUGGGUAGUUCUGCUACUGCUUUAUAUGGUUUUGGGUUAAUAUUUCAUUAUAUCUAUGUUCCAAUUAUGUUGUUAUUUCAUUUAUGUUCAUGACAAGAUUAUUAAAUGUUAAUUGGAACAUAGAGCUUAACUUGAGAAACACGUGCCACCACAAGGGUUUAUGGACGCCCUUGGCUGAUUAAUUAGGAAAGCUAGUGGAGGACUACCUUACCCGAAAGGGGCAAGGGCAGUAGGGGAGUGGUCAGUGUAGGGAGGUCCUUGCUUGAUUUUGCUGCGAUGGCGGUCAGGCAAGAACCCUGCAUUGGAGCUUCCUAUAAACUGUAGCGGGUUUUCUGAAGCUAGUGGAACUUUGUAAAGGCCUCGUAGUGUUACCCUGCCUCGCCUCCUCGGUAGAGGUGUAUGGGGAGUCGCGAUCCCUUGGCAGAUGGGUAACAUGACUUGUGGGUAAAGGGUACCACCUCUGCAGAGUGUAAAACUGGUAUACUAGCCGAGCUCACGGUCAUGAGCAGCUCAGGACUCUCUGAUGAUUAAUUUAUGGAACUAAAUUCAAUUUGUCAUAUGCAUUGCAUCGCAGGUGAUGUUGUUACUUUUGUUCUACUACUUAAUUGGGUUGGUAUUUACUUAUACUUAGUAAUUGCUAAUAAAAUUUUGACCAACUUUAAAAGCAAUGCUCAGCUCUAACCAUCUUCUUUGGUAAGCCUUACACUUCACGUGAGCUCCCACCUUUGGCGAGUUCAUGCACAUUAUUCCCCACAACUUGUUGAGCGAUGAACGUAUGUGAGCUCACUCUUGCUGUCUCACACCCCCCCACAGGUCAAGAACAGGUACCGCAGGAUGAGGCGCUUGGAGGAUGAUGUGCUGUGUUCGUGAGAGGUCUAGGCCGUCGUCUCCCAGUCAACUUUGGGUUGCUGGACCGUUGUCUCCUUAUAAUGUAAUUAUUUAUUUAUUUUGUAUAGAACUCUUGUUAUUUAGUAAAGAUGUGACAUUCGAUCCUGUGCCAUGAUUCAUCAUAUGUGUGAGACUUGGUCCCAGCACACCUGGUGAUUAUGUUCGCGCUCGGGUCUUGGUGCCCCGAAAUCCGGGUGUGACAGAAGUGGUAUCAGAGGAAUGUUGACUGUAGGACGAAACCUAGAUAGAACCAGAUAACCAUUAUCUACUUACCUUUGCUACUCUGAUUCUUUUCUAAACUUUUCUUAUUCUUUUCUCAUCUAUUUCCGCUUUACUCUGAUUAUUCUUAUCUUUUCUUUUCUAAAGACAAAUGUGGAUUUCACACUUUGAAAUCCCGUACCUAAAGUGGCCUUUAGGAAUAGGAGACCUACUUUUAGGAACAAAAUCAAAACUAUUUUUGGUAAAUAUUUGUAUGCUUGAAUUUUUGUUCUUGUGAUACAUGUCUGAUUUGGAUUUUUGAUUGAGGGUGAUGAGUUGUGGAGUAAUGUCCACAAUUACAUCUGCAUAUACAUAAUGCUUAUAAAACUAACUAGACAAACUAGAUUAUCCCUCAUUAAAGUAUCUAGCCUAACAAUAUUCAUCUCAACUUAAAAGAUUCUAUCCUACACUCAUAGAUCUAUCUUAUCUCAAAAGAUUCUAACUUAUCCUAAUGUAUCUAGAUCCAUCUUAUCUUGAAAAGAUUUUAUCUCAUCUUAAUAGAUCUAACUAACCUCAAAGGAUUCUACCUUAUCCUUAUGGAUUCAUCUUGCCCUAAUUAACAUAUUUAUCCCACUCUAGAAUAACAACCAUGAUCUAAUCCAAAUUUGAGUUACUUAAAUAAGUUAGAUAAUGUUGGCGGCAAAAAUUAGGCCCUAUCUAAUCUAUUAUGAUUUAACCUUGUGGGUGAUUCUUAAUGCUGGUACGAAAGCUAAAACCAUACUCCUAAUUCACUUAAGCCUAAGUUAGUGCCAUAGAUCAACUUAGCCAUACACUCCCAAUAAGUUACAUAAUCCAUCUAUGUAAACCUAUUAAAAAAAGUCCUAUCCACAGACCCUAGCUAUCUUAACUACAGCUCCCUAGCUCAGAUGGAGAUACCAAGAUUGGAGACCGAAGAUGAUCAACCUCAUCAAGAAAGGAUAAGCACCAACUCAAGUCUUCAAGGAUCAAGCGGGAUCACCAAGAUGAGUCAAGAUCCACAAUCUAGGAUGGAGUCCUUCCUUACCCUACCCAAACCUAUCCAUGCUUUGGAUACAUCUUUUAUCCUACAUAAUAAAGUAGCUAUAUAUAUACACAUGUUUUCCUAAUCACAUGAUAAUUUGUGAUAUUAAAAAAAACAAAUCUUUUGGUAUUAAAACCAACUAAAAACUAAAGCAUAGACUACAAACCAAACUUGUUGGAUCCCCUUUCUUACUAAUCUCGAGGACGAGAUUUCUGUUAAGGGGGGUAGGAUUUGUAAGACCUAAAUUUGGUAGGAGACAUAUAUA